AAGCAAUUUGCUCAUAGCCAUAGCUUUCUUGUGAAAGUAGGAUAUUAACCCAGGUGUCUUGGUGCUGGAGAACAGAACUGGCCAGAGUCCAUCCUGUCUCCCACCGGCAUCCCAUUACGAAAUGAACACAGAAAAGGCAGGUCUGCAAUGCCAACAUCUAGUAUCUAUCCCAAAGACCAGGGAGAAAGGAAGGAAAGAUUCUGGUUCUGUCCUCUUCCCCAAGGCAAGGCUGGCUGCCCUACCAACAGAGGCAAAGAGAAGAGUGUGCAAGGCUGGCUGCCCUCCCAACAGAGGCAAAGAGGAGUGUGUGUUGAAAUAUCCAUUGAAUCCCUGAGACAACUGGAUCCUGGCCCAUUGAAUCAUAAACUCAUUUCAGAGAAGAUGAAACUGAUGUGCGUCAAAAAGCUGGUAGUCUGUCAAGGAAAUGAGCUGAACAUGUCUGUGUACAGCUUUUGUGCCAUCCCUGGAUGAGCGAGCUGUCUGCCUCUAUGUUCUCCACAAAAUGGAAUAUAGCUGUACACCCAAGCCAAGUUAUGGAGGCUGGGAAGACCUAGAAUGUGGCAUCACUAUUUGGAAACCAUGCCGAUUACCGACCGAGCUCUCAAUGGAAAAAUGCAGUCGGCGUGAACCACGCACGAACACAGCAGAGAAAGAAGAAAACACACACCACGAGGAACCCUAAUAGGACAAUACAUUAUAAGUCACAGUGCUACGGAGAAACCCAGUAGCCACAUGGAAGCAGAGACCAUGCAUAUGCAUCUACUCCGCAGCUCUGUGAAUGUCAGCAGCUCCCACGGACUGGAGAUCCCGUGAGAUCCCGUGAGAUCUCACCCAUAGCCUCAUGGUACAUCCACUUGGUGUGCUGGGAGAGUCAGGAUGAGGACCUGAGAAGAACAGCAGCUUGAACCUGACUUCAUUUAACAGCCCACUGCCCUCUUGCCAAGAACCCAUCACAGACCUUCCCAGAAGAGAGGGAUGAGCCUCACCUAUGAAUAAGUCCUCAGAAACUCAAAUUUGAUUCUAAUGGAUUGUUUUCUCAGAAAGACUGAGCAUGUCCCCCCACAUCUCUGUCAUUUCCCACAGUAGUAACCUCUGCAGAUGCCACAUAGAAAACAAAACAAAACAAAAAAACAUGAGGUUGGUGGGCAGAUAGGCAGGGUAUAAACAAACAGCCUUGUAACCCAGAAGCUGUGUGAUAUACAGUAAACUUCACAACACUGAAAAGAUGUCCUAUCUGUUAAAAUGGGGUAAUAACAACUACCCGAAUGUUUAGGAAUAGAACUUCAAUAAAUGAUACAUUUUAUAGUACAGCAGACCAUCCUGUAAAGGUUUCAUCCUUCACUGUGGUGAUAAAUAUCCCAAACCACAUUGAAAAGCAUUGCAUCUACAUUUAUCUACACUGUAACUGUACUGUAAAUCAUGGGGGAGGGGAGAAUCAUAAAAACACCACCUGUCACCGUGUCAUUAAAGCAAGUUGGAAGUGAUACUUACAGAAACACAGCAAGAGCACCCCCAGUCACACAGUUCAAUCUCUUAGCAAGCGUUUUCUUUCUAGCCCAGUGGUUCUCAGUUUGGAAUUUUUGGCACUGCCUAGAGAUAGUUUUGUUGUUAAAACUGAGAAAAGAGCCGGGCGUGGUGGCACACGCCUUUAAUCCCAGCACUCAGGAGGCAGAGGCAGG
rnacentral:lncRNA from 1 species